GUGUUGACUGCAGACAAUGUGGAUCCUAUCAAGCUGGUUGUCUUUCUGCCUGCCCUGUGUCACAAAACGGGGAUCCCUUAACGCAUUAUCAAGGGGAAGGCAAGACUGAGACAUGUAGUCCACAGGAAGACCUGCACCACUGUCGCCUUCACACAGGUUAACUCAGGAGACAAAGGAGCUUUGGUUAAACUGGUGGAAGCUAUCAAGACCAAUUACAAUGACUGAUAUGAUGAGAUCCGCUGUCACUGGGGAGGCAAUGUCCUGGGUCCCAAGUCUGUGGCUUGCAUUGCCAAGCUUGAAAAGGCAAAGGCUGAAGAACUUGCUACCAAACUGGGUAA
rnacentral:lncRNA from 1 species